rnacentral:rRNA from 1 species
GUAGGUGGCAAGCGUUGUCCGGGAAUUAUUGGGGCGUAAAGCGCGCGCAGGCGGUUCUUUAAGUCUGAUGUGAAAGCCCACGGGCUCAACCGUGGAGGGUCAUUGGAAACUGGAGAACUUGAGUACAGAAGAGGAAAGCGGAAUUCCACGUGUAGCGGUGAAAUGCGUAGAGAUGUGGAGGAACACCAGUGGCGAAGGCGGCUUUCUGGUCUGUAACUGACGCUGAGGCGCGAAAGCGUGGGGAGCAAACAGGAUUAGAUACCCUGGUAGUCCACGCCGUAAACGAUGAGUGCUAAGUGUUAGGGGGUUUCCGCCCCUUAGUGCUGCAGCUAACGCAUUAAGCACUCCGCCUGUGGAGUACGGCCGCAAAGGCUG